AUUGAACGCUGGCGGCAGGCCUAACACAUGCAAGUCGAACGGUAACAGAAAGCAGCUUGCUGCUUUGCUGACGAGUGGCGGACGGGUGAGUAAUGUCUGGGAAACUGCCUGAUGGAGGGGGAUAACUACUGGAAACGGUAGCUAAUACCGCAUAACGUCGCAAGACCAAAGAGGGGGACCUUCUGGCCUCUUGCCAUCGUAUGUGCCCAGAUGGGAUUAGCUAGUAGGUGGGGUAAAGGCUCACCUAGGCGACGAUCCCUAGCUGGUCUGAGAGGAUGACCAGCCACACUGGAACUGAGACACGGUCCAGACUCCUACGGGAGGCAGCAGUGGGGAAUAUUGCACAAUGGGCGCAAGCCUGAUGCAGCCAUGCCGCGUGUGUGAAGAAGGCCUUCGGGUUGUAAAGUACUUUCAGCGGGGAGGAAGGGAGUAAAGUUAAUACCUUUGCUCAUUGACGUUACCCGCAGAAGAAGCACCGGCUAACUCCGUG
rnacentral:rRNA from 1 species